CAGUUGUUCAGUAACUGAGGGAUCUCAAAGCUUGCUUUCAUUUCAAUCUCGCUUAUAGUUUCUAUAUUCUCAAAAUCUUUUGCCAGGCAAUCAUAUUUAUAUGGCUUUCCUGUUUCAUCCUCCCCAACACCUGUCCUUUAGGAGCCCCAUUGGGUGCAGCUGUGCCCCGUGUAGUAAUCCUGUGUUCUUGCUGUGUUCCUGAGCAGUAAUCCUGUGUUGUUGCUGUAUUCCUGAGCAGUAACCGUGUCUCUUUGCUGUGUUCCCGAGCAGUAACCGUGUCUCUUUGCUGUGUUCCCGAGCAGCAGCAGCAGCAGCAGCCCCAGGACAGCCCCGUGCAGUUUCUCCCGGCCCCUGGUGCACUCAGCGCGCCGGGAGCGAUGCCGCGACUGGAGGAAGCCGGGCAGGAUCAUCCGCAAAGCCUGAGCGGGAUCCAGGGGCCGUGGGGAGGCUGCAGAGCCUCAGAGAGCCCCCCCAGGGGCUGCAGCACCUCCACAGGGACAGCAUCCAUCCAUCCUGCAGCGAUCUGCUGAGGGGAAGGAGCCCCUUCCUCAGGGAAUCACCCCUGCCCGCGGAGGAGCCCCCAGGAGCAGAAGGAUGGCCCGAGCUGGGACAGCGGUUCUGCCUCCCAUCACCACCAAGUGACUUUGCUUUCUUCUCCCCCAAGGGCUGAGUGGAUGGAGAGCAGAUUUCCCAGGGGAAAAGUGGGAUUUGCUCCUGCAUGGGCAGCCCUGGGAAGGCUCCCAGUGGUUUCAGGCUCCUCUUCUCGCUCUCCAGGACUGUGCAGCAUUUCCCAAAGUGGCUGGAAAACCUUCAGUGCCCAGUUUGUCACCACUCCCAGGAGGAGCUGCCUCCCCUGGGACACCCAGAAGUCACAGCCCUUUGGGAAUGCUCCCUGUUAGCCUCAUGCACCAAGAGCCUGCCAGUUAUUCUCUGCUUUUCCUCACCUUCGCUAAAUGAGUUGCUCCAGGGAAGAGGAGGGAAAAAUGUCCUGAACCAGUGACUCAGAGUUAUGUCAUCAAAUGCAAUUUACUGCAAUGGCCUUGUAAUUAGCAUUUUUGGAGCCUUCCCAGCAGCUGAGGCAAAUAAAUGUGAGAGCCACUUUCUAAUGAGCA
rnacentral:lncRNA from 1 species